rnacentral:lncRNA from 1 species
UGUGCUAGAAUGGUGGAGAGGAAACCAGAGCCCAGCUCCUAAUGCAAGGCUCUUUCAUUCCUUUAGCCACCCUCGCCCCCGCCAAAACAAACAGACAAAAAACUGUCAUUCUCAUAUGACCACGGACUCUGCGCCCCGGCCGCAGGCGGAGGACAGGGAGGAGCGCACACGAGAAAGCUCCCACGCGCCCGCGCCUCGCCUCCGACGGGAAGGCGCCUCUUCCGACCGUCCUGGAUGCAAAUUAAAUACUUCCCUCCGCAGAAGACUUAUCUCGGGAACUCAGCCGCCUUAGCGUCUUAGAGAAGAGGACGGCAUGCACGCGGACCCCGUCCACCACACCUGGAGAGCAGGGAGCCCUUAGUCCCUGGACACUUACCAGGGCCGCCACCCCUGGUCCACGCACGUGAUGACAUCUCACCAGGGGCAGCACACCGCCAGAGUCCGCGACACUGAUAACACCUCCUGCGGGCAGGAGGGCGCCACAGCCACCCCUGGUCCCCUAGAUUGUGUGAGGCUGGCAUUUCUGCCCGCCUCUUGGCGUGGACAGCACGCUGGACCGAGAUGGAACCACAGCUUUCUCUUCCCAAUCCCUGGCCUCACCGUUUUGUUUCAUACCUCACCGUUUGUUUCAAACCUCGUGCUGUUGAAAUGAUUAAAUGAGAUAAGGGGUGUGGUAGUGUUGGGCAAACCACAAGAAAGCGGUCUGGGUGGGGUCUGGCCCUAAAAUCCUCCUCCCCCACCUCCCAGGCUUC